UACAGAGGGUGCGAGCGUUGUUCGGAGUUACUGGGCGUAAAGGGUGUGUAGGCGGUUGGAUAAGUGUGGUGUGAAAUCUCCCGGCUCAACUGGGAGGGUGCGCUACAAACUGUCUGACUAGAGUGUGGGAUGGGAAAGUGGAAUUCCUGGUGUAGCGGUGAAAUGCGUAGAUAUCAGGAGGAACACCGGUGGUGUAGACGGCUUUCUGGACCAUAACUGA
rnacentral:rRNA from 1 species